rnacentral:rRNA from 1 species
GCUAGUUGGUGAGGUAACGGCUCACCAAGGCGACGAUGCGUAGCCGACCUGAGAGGGUGAUCGGCCACACUGGGACUGAGACACGGCCCAGACUCCUACGGGAGGCAGCAGUAGGGAAUCUUCCGCAAUGGACGAAAGUCUGACGGAGCAACGCCGCGUGAGUGAUGAAGGUUUUCGGAUCGUAAAGCUCUGUUGUUAGGGAAGAACAAGUGCCGUUCAAAUAGGGCGGCACCUUGACGGUACCUAACCAGAAAGCCACGGCUAACUACGUGCCAGCAGCCGCGGUAAUACGUAGGUGGCAAGCGUUGUCCGGAAUUAUUGGGCGUAAAGGGCUCGCAGGCGGUUUCUUAAGUCUGAUGUGAAAGCCCCCGGCUCAACCGGGGAGGGUCAUUGGAAACUGGGGAACUUGAGUGCAGAAGAGGAGAGUGGAAUUCCACGUGUAGCGGUGAAAUGCGUAGAGAUGUGGAGGAACACCAGUGGCGAAGGCGACUCUCUGGUCUGUAACUGACGCUGAGGAGCGAAAGCGUGGGGAGCGAACAGGAUUAGAUACCCUGGUAGUCCACGCC